AUACUUACCUGUCAGGGAAGAUCCCAUGACCAUGGAGGUAGGCUUAUCAAUUGCACUCUGGAGGUGCUAACAUCUCCAGUUUACUCCCCAAAGUGGGAAACAACCACAUAGUUUGUGAUAGUGGGAGAUUUUGUUCGUGUUUUCCAU
rnacentral:snRNA from 1 species